GAUGAACGCUAGCUACAGGCUUAACACAUGCAAGUCGAGGGGCAGCAUGGUCUUAGCUUGCUAAGGCCGAUGGCGACCGGCGCACGGGUGAGUAACACGUAUCCAACCUGCCGUCUACUCUUGGACAGCCUACUGAAAGGAAGAUUAAUACAAGAUUGCAUCAUGAGUCCGCAUGUUCACAUGAUUAAAGGUAUUCCGGUAGACGAUGGGGAUGCGUUCCAUUAGAUAGUAGGCGGGGUAACGGCCCACCUAGUCUUCGAUGGAUAGGGGUUCUGAGAGGAAGGUCCCCCACAUUGGAACGGAGACACGGUCGAAACUCCUACGGGAGGCAGGAGUGAGGGAUAUUGGUCAAUGGGAGAGAGCCUGAAACAGCCAAGUAGCGUGAAGGAUGACUGCCCUAUGGGUUGUAAACUUCUUUUAUAAAAGAAUAAAGUCGGGUAUGAAUACCCGUUUGCAUGUACUUUAUGAAUAAGGAUCGGCUAACUCCGUG
rnacentral:rRNA from 1 species